GAGGUUGUAUGAGGGGUCAGGUUUACUAAACAUCCAUUAUCCAGCACUUUGCUAGAUGAUAUGAAGUAACAGCAGAAAAUAUGAACAUUCCUGCCAUUACCUUGGAAGAAGUGACAGUGGGUGGAAGGAUGAGAGUAGAAAAAGGAGUGUGCCUGAAAAUACAGUAAGAACAAAUAUAAAAAUGCCAUGAAUACACGACCUCCAUAGACUGGAAGGAAAAUAUUAGAUCUGUUUGACCUCUUUGGGGUAACAUUUGGCUUAUGUUGUUAUUUGCUGCUUCUGUGAACAUAAUAAAGGUUUAAUUUUUAUCACUGAAAUUUUUACAAGUGCAAAUUAAAUGUCUCAAAAAAAAAAAAAAAAGAAGAAAAAGGAAACCCAAAAGCAAAACAAAACCAAAAAGGGCAGCAGCUGAAACAUUGGUCUUUCCUAUAAGGAGCAGGGCAAUGAUUAAUGGAUAACAAACUUAAAAACUUAAAAAAAAAAGGCGCUAGAUCUGCAUACAAUCACACACAAAACUAUUUGACAGAAAAAUGGGAGAUCAAACAGAAGUUAAGAGAAGAUUUCAUGACAUAAUUUUGAGAAAAUCAAAAUAGCCAUCAAGCAGUCAGAGUAUGUUUAGGAGCUAUUAAUGGUCAAUCAAUCAGUUUGUAAAAACCAGUCUUUACCAACCACCAGCCAACCACACUCCAGCACUUCUAAAAAAGCAGUGGAUGAGCAAGAAAAACUGUACAAAUGAAAGAAAUGUUAACAUUGCUGAGAAAUCAAUACAGCCAUGGCCAUGCAUUUCAAAUUGUAGGAAGAGGACAGAUGUCUAUAUGCUUAUGCCUGUUGUUUGUACUACCCCCUCUACUCUUGGAAUGCUUAAAGACAACUGGAAUUUCACUAAAACUUUGCAAAUCUAAAUAAUGAACAAAUCCACACGCAGCACACACACACAAUGCAUCCAUGGCAUUUGUUUGUAAAGGCACUUUCAGAGAAAGAGCAUGAUUCAUUUGAAAGGCUCUCUCUGUGGUUAUUUGUUUUCUGGCGAUGCAGAAAUUCUUCUAAAUAGGUCAUCAUAAUACUGAUAAUCAUCUCCACGGUAACCAGCUUUCAAGGCAACUGGCUGAGGAUUACAUUUCUAGAUGGGGGAAAUUGCAUUAGAGGCAUGGUAGUGACACAAGAAGCUGCAAGCUAGUGCCAUUCAAAUUCCCUUAUAUGUACAGCAUUUAUCAAAUACUGUCUUUAUAAUCUGAACUAAGUAUGACUUGUUUGAGGGACAUUUGUAGGUGAUGCUUCAUCUCAUUUGUAGGUAAUGCUCCAUCUAUUAACCUAAAUAGAAAAAGAAGCAACCAAAUACUACAAAUAUUUCUUUUUUCUAUUUAGGUUAAUAGAUCCAGGUGCUUAGGCCAUCUAAUGCUAACCCAGAGCAGGUAUCUUGGGAGAGUUUAGGAACAGGUGUUCGCUGUCACUUCCUCUCUCUGCUUGCUCCAUCUGUACAGGUAUUUGGCAUAUUUAGGAGAGGGACUGGAUUUCUGUGGGAUUGUGCAAUAACAUCUCGAGCAUAACAUGUCAUGAAAUUGAAGAAUUUUUCUGAUAAAUGGAUUUCUUAGAUCUGAGGCAAUCCAUUUUGCAGUAUCCAGGGAUAAGACAAAGCAAUUUCUUAGAAGUAUUCCACAGUUUAAGUCCUUGAAAUGUUUUUUAGCCAAGCGUAAGAGGCUAAGCUGGCAAAUAACCCAACCAAAACACCUCAGCUUCAUGUUUUGUUUUGGGGUGUGUGUGUGUGUGUGUGUGUCUUAAAGUACUUACAAAAUUUUGAGGGCAGAGCUACUUCACAGCGAUCUUAUACUAGCAGACUCUGGGGUUCAAUUAGAGUUAAAGGAACUAGUUGAGGCCUCCAGCCUCAGAUGAUAGAAUGAAAGCAGAUUAUACAGUCUCUCUCUCUCUCUCAGAACUAAAAACAAUGGAUGCCAAAAAUGAAAACCACUAGCUCCCUCCUUUCUGGUAAUAAGUCAGAAAUGAAAUAAGAAAAAUACUGUAAUCUAAUAAUACAGACAUUAAAACAAAACAAAGCAUUCAUGCACAUGUGUGUGCGUGCGCACACACACACACACACAUAUACAAUGGUGGCUCAGAAAAGAACAGAUCUUGGAGUGGCACAGUGUAGCUUCUAACCUUGAACUUCCUUCCUGCCCCUGGAACCUUACUGGUGAAUUACUGAAAUCUUAAGACCUCACUAUGGUCUUCAAAUGUGGAGAGAAACUAAAUGACUAUCCUUACUUUUCUCAUUUUUGUCUGAAGGAUGGUGGAUUUGCUAUUGGACAGAAGUGGGCUGCUUCUUUCUGACACUGCAUGUAUCAGUAAAGAUACCACAUUGCAUAUAAACUCAUUAGAAAGGGGAAUCUUGUCUCAUUUGUUCACACAGCUUAUUUCUAGCACCUAGAUUAGAAUAGUGCCUUGCAAAGGAGAGGGGCUCAAUAAAAAUUUGCUGAAUGAUUUAAAAAAAAAUCCUAGAGUGUUCCCCUUCAGGAUGGAUAUGUAUUCUGAUUUAAGAGAGGGAUUAAAAUGUAAUUAAAAACAUCUGACAAAUCCCAGCGAGAGAGAGAGAGAGCGAGAGAGAGCGAGAGAGAGCGGGCAAUCAAAAGUGCAGAGCCCAGGAGUUCUAACUCAGAUGUCACACAGCUUCAGCAGAGCUUUCCCCUCCCUCUCUACUCCCUGCACCAUUUCCUUAGGCUGCAGUUAAGUGGAUGGUAUCCAAAAUCAAGUUCUUUAAUCAUAGCUUCGGGGAAAACAAGUUAGAGUCUAUAGAAAUUGAGUCAAUAAGUAACCUACAUUAGAGAGAACAAAGAAGAUCUGGAUAAAGCUGUUCAGGUGUGAAUAAGAUGGGGGAAACCAUUGACAAACAUCCAAACAUGCUAAGGCAAUGCUCCCAAAUAGAAACUAACAAAACCAAUCAACCUUAAAAGAAAGGAACAUAGCAUGCAAAAGAAAGAUAAAACUCCCACUUUUAAAGAAAACAUAGUCCAAAGAACAAAACAAAAUUCCUUAGAAGUGCUUUGUACUAUGAAUCAAGUUAAUGAGAACAUGAACUCAGAAAAACAAGAGCUCAAAGAUGAGUUGACAGAACCACAGGAAGGUUACAGAACCAAGGAGGCUGAGUACAAAAACAAUAUUAUAGAGUGAAUUUUUAAAAGGUGACAGAGCAAGGAACAAAAUAAACAUGGCUGCAAAUAAAAUUACUGGCCUCGAGGAAUGGCUUGUAAAUACAAGGGAACGAAAGGAAUUAGAAGGUGACAGAUUGGAGUUCAAAAGCACUUAACAUGAGGAAAUUGAUGUCCCUGAAGGAGAAGUUUCAAUAAAUGGAACAGGAAAAGUAUUCACAAAUACCACACAAGGAAGUUUCACUAAAGAGAAAGAAUAACCACAUUUAUAGAUUGAAAGAGCAUACCAUGUUCUAGGAAAUAUUGAUAACAGAAUACUUAGCACAGCCCUGAUUGAAUACUUAAAAUUCAAGAAUAAAGACAUCCCUUGGGAAUUUGAGGAAAAAAACCCCAAAAAGCCAAAAACCCAAAAAACAAAAAACGUGUCACAUUGGAUGAAGCACAAAUUAGACUGGCUUCGAAUGUCUCCAUAACAACAUUCAAUGCAAAAGCAAUAUGUAUCCCAACCAACAUGUCAAGACAGAUAUUCUAUCAUGAAAGAAUUUCAGUCAAGAUGACAUAUAAUUGGGUCUUGUGACUGUCUGGCCAGAAUGGUUAGUAAUGAUGGUGUAGCCACCUUUAGAAUAGCUAAGCUAGCAUUUUUCCAAACUGUGACCUUUGAACUCCAGUGAGGUGUUCCUUAAACAAGGAAACUAUGGUCAAACAGUUUAGAAGCACAGACUCUCUAAAUGGCGCACCUUAGAAAUUUGUAAAACACACCAGCAUAUAAAAGAGUUCAAGACAGUAAUGAAAAAGCAGCAGAUCUCAUUUGGAGGGAGUUUCAUCUACCACAAUGGAGGGGAAAAAUGAUUAAUAACUCAAAAUAGCAAUCAAUUCCAAAACAAUUCAUAUUUAUUUGUCUACUUCCUCCUCCCCAACAAUAAAAUUUUAUUAUUUAUUCAUCCAUUUAUUUUAAAGCAAUACAAUCUUAAAAUUCAGUUUCAGGAAUAAAAAAGCAGAGUGGUGGUUUUAGGUCUACUUUGAAAGUACUAACAAUAAAUUCCCUCAUAAAGCAGACAUGUCAAAUCUUUAAGCACCGCUCAAUUCCCCAUCUGCUUUGUUUAAAGGAAAGCAUCUUUGUGAAGGCUGCAUUCCCACUGUGGAACUCUGGAAGUGGCAGGACUUUAGCUCGGUAUUAAACGAGAGAAAUUCUAGGAGAUGUUCUGCAGCCGAACACUGUUUUUUUUUUUUUCCUUAGGGAACCAGGAACAAUGUAACUGAGAAGGCAAAGGAGUAAGUAUCUUUUAUUCCAGAAGAAAAACAAUGCCACUACCACUUUGCAAUACUUUUUCCUGCUUCUCAGUAUUUCUCCCAUUUAUAUAAGCAUAGUUUUUGAUAGUGUGCAAUGCCCUUCUAUUUAGAUUACAAACCACUGCUUUAGAAUGGUAGAAGACUGCUCUCUACUCACAUCGUACCUCUCUCGUGCUACUUUGGACUGGAAAAAGUGUUUUAAUUCCAGACUGACUUGUUUCUGUUUCCCUGCCUCCUUGUCAGAGGACAGAAGUGUGUCAGGAAUGUGGAAAGAAAAAGCUGGAGGUAACUUUCAGCUUUGAGAUAGUGUUAUAUUUGUCUGUCCUUCUAAGAUACUGCUCAGAGCUGACUGAGGUGAGAGGGUGGGUUGAAGAGUAACUGAGAAGAUCAAAGGAUUUCAAGCAGUAAAGAAAGGAGGGACCCAUAAACUGGAAUGCAGGUAUAAGAUGCAGCAAUUACCAGGAUAUGCUGCCCUCUUCAGGGUUUUUAAGGAAAAACUCACCAGUUAAAAUUGGCCGAACAUUUAAGUCUAACAAUGCCAACGUGGCAAGGAUAUGAGCAAUAGGAAAGCUCACACACUUCUGGUUGGGGUGUUAUUUAAUACAUCUAGGAAAUUUAGAAAUGUGCAUACCCUACAUUCCAGCAAUCCCACUCUUAUGUAAAUGUCUAGAAAUACUCAUCCACAUUUGCACAAGGAGAUAUGUUGCAUUGUCUGUGACAGCAAGAGAUUAGAAAUAAUUCAACAAUCCAUUAGCUGACCAGCUGCGGUAUUUACCUACCAUGGCAUGUUAUACAGCAAUAAAAAGUAACAACGUUACUUUAAUCAACACGGAUACAUCCCAAGAAUAAAAUAUGGAGUCAAGAUGCAGAAGGAUAUACGAUACAAUUUAUAUAAAGCUUGAAAAUGCACAAAAUACAUACAGUAAAGUGCCAUUUAUAUAGCUGAAAACAUACAAAACCAAAACUGUGUGUGUCAUAAAAACACACAUUGGAAUGAUGAACAAAAUGAAAAAACAGGGUUGGGAAUCAUAAAUUCAAGGUAACAGUUACCUCUAAGGAGAGAAUGAGAGAAAGGAGAUAAAGAGGACACAGGAUAUUUUGAUUAUAGAUGUUAGGUUUUAUUUCUUUAGUGUGGUAGGUACAAGCAUCUUCGUUAUAUUAUUAUUGGUACUUAUUAUUGUAGACCUCAAAUAUUUCAUUAACAAAAUUGAAGUACUCUGAAUCAGAUUCAACUAAAAUGUAUGAAGCACCUACCAUGUACAUAACGCAGUGCUUUUCCGCAUUAGGCAGUGUGACAGCCAACACUGGAGAAGUCUAUGCUUAGAAAUGUAAUUGAAUCCCAUUAUCUGGCAACUUCCGCAUUGUACCCUCAGAUCCUUUGUUAGCCAGUGUGAUCCCACCUGACCUGACUAUGACUGAUGAAUUCGUGGAGAAAGGGUGCAGUGGAAGGAGAAGAAAAGCAAGGCAGAUUAUUAAGAUUUAGAAAAAAGGAAAUUAAGCUCAUUUGGAAUUCUCUUUUCUAAAUGAAUUCAGCUUCCUUCUUUCUACACCUCACAUUUUUUCUCAACUUACCAAUUUCUCAACAACUGUGUGAUGGGAAAUGUAAGUAGAAAUUGAACAAUUCUUAGUUAUAGAAUCAUUAGUCCCUUCUACAUGGAGAAAAGGCAAAACUUUCUAUUGGUUUCAUUUGGCCAAAAAUAAGUAAGACGCAGUGGCCAAUUAGUGGGAUGUGUAAGCUGAAGGUAGAUGUUCACUUCUGAGGCACCCAUAGGGGAAGAAGGUACUACCCUCUACCAAUGGUUGUUAAUUCUGCCUUCACAGUAUAAUCACCUGAGUUUUACAAUCUACUGACCCCUUGGCCAUUCCCCCCGAAAUUCUGAAUUAGCUGUUCUGGGGUGGGGCCUCCGGUGUUCAUAUUUUACAAAUAUCACUUCCCAGGUGAUUCUAAUGUGCACACAGCAUUGAAAACCACUCUUAUCUCUCAGGCUCUGAUGUAUCUGAUAUUGACCAAAUUUCAGGGCCAUUGGUUAACACAGUUGGAACAGUUACUGCUGCCUUUCUUGUCAAGUUCAUGACAUGAUGGGAGAAACCUUGGACGCAUGUUGUUUCCACUAAUUGUCUCUCUACUCAGACAUCUUUAAGACUUAUUGCCCAAACUCUCUGCUGGAGAAUAUUCUCUGUGCCUUGGCUCUUUCUUCAUUCUUUUGUGCAAGGCCAGGUGUUUUGGAAACAGGCAGGGCUGUGCUGUGCAGUGGGGGUGGCGAAGUCACCCACAAGGCCACAAAGAUAAUUGGUUGUACUGUCUAACAGGUUUGGGCUCUUCAAACUCUUGGCCAGCCUCUUGACUUACAUGUUGGUUAAAAGAAUCAUAAAUCAAUUACUUUUAAGCCUCCCCCUAACCAAAACCCACUGGAGAGAUUGUCAAUAACAUGAAGAAAAACCAUGAAUUUGAGGGCUAAAAAGUUACUGUAACCUUCCAUCCAGUGGACAUUUUUAACAACACCUUAUCAAAUGAUCAUUCAGGUACCACGUGAAAAAUUUUCACUAAUUUUCAUGCAAAAUACUUCUGUGAAAUUCCUAUACAUCUGGACCAAAUGUUAGCUCUGGGCCUACAAGGAGCAGCAGUCACUGUUCCAGCCCUUGAUGAUGGACAAGUAAUUACAGGGACAGACCUAUAACCAAGUAAUUAAAUAAGGUGUGAGACAUCUAAGAGGACCUGUACAUGUUCUAUACACAAGUCAUAAACACUGGAAAGAGGACACUUAGUGUAGAUCCGCUUUGUAGGAGAGGUUUUCACAGAAGGAGUGAUGGCAGAGUAAGGUUUUUGAGCUUUGUCUUGCAUAUGUGUUCCCAGCAUUGCCUGGGAACUGGUUAGAAAUGCAGAACGUCAGGCCCCAUCUUAGACCCACAGAAGUAAAGUCUUUUUAACAAGAUUCUUAGGAUGUGAUAUGCAAAAGAAAAACAGAAAAGCAUAACUUGAGAGGUUCUUCAGGUCGAAGUGGGGGGUGGGAGUGGGCGGAUACAAUGAUAACAGUUCAGGGAGAACACUGACACCCACAAAAGCUCCCCUGUGUGAAAUGCAUAGUGUUAUUACUGCUGGAGCGUAGGGUAAAUGAUGCCAUUUACAAGUGAUUCCAUUAGGAGAGGCAGGCCUGGGCCUUGUCAUGAAAGGGCUUGCAGAGCAUUCUGAGGAAUUUGGAUUUCAUCAUAAAGGAAUUGAGAAGCUAAUUAAAACCAGUGAAAUAUUUUAAACAGGAGAGUGGCAUAAUGAGAUUUUUGCUUUAGGACGAGGUCAUUGGCAGUAACGUCAAGGCAGGAGCCAAAGGGGCUGGGCUUUGGGAGGCUGUUAUCAUCAGUAGAGAAGUGGUGAGGGCCUAAACCAAGGCAGGCCACGGGAAAGCAGGCAGAGGUGGAUGUAAGAGAGAUUUAGGAGGAAUGAGCAACAGGGCAUAUUACUACAUGAUAUUCCACAUUUCCUUAAAAGUCCUUUUAGAAAUGCAUUGUAUGCAAUUGGAUGAAGAGAAACCAACCACCUGACCAACUAACCAAUCAGCUAGCAAACAGAAAACCCAAACUCUCAAUCACCAAAUCCUAAAUAAAAGUAAAAUUUAAGAAAACAUGAUUAGGAGGAAGACACAGGUUUCAAUGACAAAUUGUAAAAGCAGGGAAGACUAAAUGAACAUGUUCAUUGUUUCUUUGCUUUUUGCUACCAGAUUUUCAGAGACACUUUUGAUAACUGACAAUUGAUACAUGCUUUACAAUUCAGACUAAGUUAAAAAUAUAUCAUUGUUAGAUAUCAUAGGAAUCUUGAAGAAGAGAAAAACACACACACACACAUAUUAGGAUUUUCGUCGUAUUUUUGCUAUUUAUGACUACACAGGGCUUCAAACAGUUUUCUUACUGACCAAAAAAAGAAGCUAUUCUUUUAUAUUUCCUUGAAAGUAUGGUCAUUUUUAAGAGUAUAUCGUAUCUUUUAUAUCUUCUUUCUUUAUCAAUAGUGUAUAAUAGAACUUAUUAGUCUCAAAUUUUUCUUUCAAAGCAGAAAUGCAUUUCAAAUAGUUUGCUGUUUGAAAUAUUAACAUGGCUGAUUACUUUUUACUCAUUCUUUUAGCAAAAAAAUUAGACUUAGCCUUUUCCUUCCAUUCUUAGGUUUUAAUCAACAAUAUGAAUUAUGUAUGAGAAGACUUAGUGUAUUAUUAGCUGAGUUUUUAAAAAGAUAUUUGACAAAGCCCAAAACUAAAUUACUAAUGCUCGCAUUUUUCUAUGAAUCAUAUUUUUUAAUCUUUGAAAAAAUAGUGAUCAUCUAUUAUUUUAUUACAAUAAUAUGAAUAUAAACCUAAACUCUAUUUAGAAGAGAAUCUAUACAUAAAAUGUCAAAAUGUUAAUGCCGAUAAGGUUGUAUGUUUCUAAGAAGCAUUUGAACAUGAAAUGAAAAUGGCAAAGAUGUUCAACUUUUUGUUUUUGCCAUCUGGUCUUGCUGCCAUUCUUUCCCAAGGGACUUCCAGGCAAACAUCUACCAUACCUUUUGUUUCAUGAGAGCUAGACGGUCAUGUGACUGUGACAGAGUUUCUUAUUCAAUUCCCUGAACUUGUUUCUCUGCCUUGCCUUGUUUCUUUCUAUCUGCCUUGCUGUCAGCAGCUCAGACUUGUCUUUUGUGGCUCCCUCUCUCAUUAGUUUUCUUCUUAGCAGAAUGUUCUUUGGAUUUGAAAUGGAACUCCUUUAAUAGUAAUUUACACUCCUACAAGCUAAAACAAAAAUGAUUCUCAAUGUAAAUGGGACUGUGCCACUCCACAGUUUAGUUGGAUUACUAAUGUAAACAGCUUUGUUAUCAAAAGCUCAGAGAAAGCUGAACAUGUAAAGCCUGGCUUGCAAAUGGGUAGGUAGACUUUGAAACUUAAUUAAGCUAGCAGAACUAGUUCUGUGGCCGCAUUACUCAGCACUUUCUUUUUACAAGGAAAUCCUUAAAAAACAAUGUCCUCUCCCAUUAACUGUUAACUGGAAUAUUGGCUUAAUUUUGGCAACAUCUAUUAACAUUAAAAAUGCAUAUUCCCUUUCAGUCAGGAAUUCUGCUUAUAGGAAUUUGUUAUAGGUUCCCUGCCUAAGUGUAAGCUUUGUACAAAGGGAUUCAAAAUAUUAUUGUUUAUGAAGGCAAAAACUCUACAUAUAAUCUGCAUGUUUACUAUUGGGGAAUGUUCAAGAAAUUAUGAUCCAUUCACUCAAGGGAAUCAUAGGCAGCUAUUUAUGUGCCAUUAUACAAAAAUGUUUAAGUGGUAAAACCAAGGAAUUACUUGCUGGGGCUUUACUGUCUCCUACUUUUCAGCACAUUCCUUUCUUUGAUACGAACAAUUGAUAUUGUAUUUUAUUUAAGUGUUUUGCAAUGGAGCUUCAAGACCCUCUUUCCAACCAGAUUGCCCUGGUGGAGUCCCUUUUAUACCAGCAUUAUGGUGCUAUCACUAUAGCAGUUACAUGAAAAAGUGAAAUAGUAUGAUAAUACUUAUAUAUAACAUUAAUCUAUGCUUGCAUACGUAUGAAAAAUUCCUGAAAGGUUGCACAUGCAACACUUUAACAUUGGUUAUCUCUGAGUGGAAGGAUUGGGUAGGGCAGGGGAGAGAGAAACUUUAUACUUCUGGUAUGUUUUUACUUCUCUGUCAUAAACACAUACUACUUUUAUAAUUUAAACAAACAAAUUGUAAAGAAGCAAGCAAAUAAUUCUAUAUAAAUAAGGAAAUGAAAUGGAAAAUCUAUAAAGGAACAAUUACCUAAAUUCUUUGGGUACAGGUAACCUAACAAGGCCCUGCAAAAAAAUACAGGUACCUGUGUUUUCUGCGGUGAGCCAUGAGACCAGAGAUUUGUCUGUUUUGCACAUCACUAUAUCCCUACUGGAGAAAUGGUUUUUUGAGUCCUAUUGCCACUUAAUUCUUGAGGACCCUGAAGAUUAUGCUUUACAUCUGGCAGGGACAGCAAGUAUCACCUCCUCCCAGGAGCCUGUUGUGAUUCUUGUGGCCCUCAUUGGUCUCUGCUUUCUUUCCACUCCUAUUACAAAAAAAUUCAUUGCUUUAGAGUCAGUACCUUUCUGCCCUUUAUUUAUAUUAAUUCUAUUCCUUUUAUCUUCAGGCAGUUGAUGGUAAGAAGAAAGAGGCCGUCAAUUCCAUUACAGCUGCUCCCAUCAGAGUGUUCCUUUUAUUACCCUGUAGAUCUACUGAUAAGGAAUACAAGUUUUACUUCUCUAGCAAGAUUGCAAGUAUAGGACUUCUUUGUGCAAUAAAGGGGAGAAGAUUACACAGAGUGUGCCAAAUUGUAUACAAUGGGACACACCUAGACAGUAGCUGCAACUCUCCUGGGAGACGUAUGCUUCAGGACAAAGUCCCAACUUCUCAAUGCAACAUACAAGGAUCUAAUGUGUCUCCACCUGCCAACACACACACACACACACACACACACACACAAACACACUCAGAAUCCUCAUCUGCUGCCACUUCCUGGUACACACCCAUACUCCGGCUUCACCAAAAAGACUUGUCUUCCUGGUAUGCACAAUGCAUUCUUAUACUCCAGUAAUUUGUACCAACUGCGGUUCAGUUGCAUUCAGAAUGCAAUUAACCCACAUUCAUUUUCUCCUUCCUUUGCAUUUUGAUUUAAUGAUGCUUGACUCUAAAAAGCUUCUCCUAUACAGGAAGAAAAAUAGACUUCACCAAGACAAUUGGAAGAUGGGCAAACCCCAAUAAUGUUUUAUAAUUUUAUGGGCUUAUAGUGUUCUGUGUUAUUGUCCACUAAAUUUUCAUUGGGGUGUACUCCAAGUGAGUCACUGUAGCAGUCCCAGCCUAAAUUGUAAACAAAAAUGCAUAUUUGCCUUCCUUACAUAUAUGGAAAAGAACUGUUAGGCUUAUAGAGGAGAAGAGAGUUAUGGUUCAAUAUUUAAUUUUUGAUUUUGCUGUUAGAGGAUUAUUUUUUUCUUCCUAUUUUUAUUUGUACCUUGCUAUUUAGGUAUGCAAUUACCUGAAGUUUUGUCCUUAUAGUCUAACUGGGAAUUAAGAGAGAGUAUUCAAACUCUCUCUUACAUUAAUUCUUGAUUUACGAUUUAGCUUUUGGCCAUGAGGAAAGUUUUAAAAACUUGCAAAGAAUUAACUACUCCAGAGUAUUUUAUAUAAUACAGAAGCAAGAAAAUAUAUCAAUCCCAUUCACACAUAGCGUGUGCCUAGGGUAUUUGAAAUUUUUUACUUAGCAUAUAUCAGGAAAUGAUACAAACAGCUGUUUGGCAUAUUGUGAUCUGGCUACUUACUGUAUUGGCUUUAAAUGUAGUGAAACAUGACACAACAUCAGAUAUUUAAAGGCACAAAGUUGUUUUCAGCUCAGUUACAAAUUUAGAUGGGAAGUAUCCUAUUUGGUAUGAAAAUAGUUGAGCAGACAGAUCCUGUGGUUUAUUGACUACUUGAAUUAAAUUUGAGCCCCUUGGAAUAUUUUCACUUGCCACUCUGCAGGGACAAGAGCUUGACAGUCAAGUAAAAGGAAAAACUGUGCUGGGAGAAAACUCAUACACUGCAUAUGAAGCAGCGUCCUUCAAACUCAACACAAUGUGAGCCAAGAUCACGGUGGCUUCCUUCCUCAAAGGAGGAAAAUAUCUGGGUACCUUAUUGGAAGAGGUCGGGUGACAGCUUCAUUGGCUGCCUCUUGAAAUGGAAGGAUAACCUUUCCUUUUAUGUUGCCAUUCUGAGUUAGCAUACAUGACUUAUCUUCAGAACGAGAGGCUUUUUCCUGUCAGUCUGAAGUUAGUGUUUCCAAAUUUGAGCCCAUGAGCUUCUUUCUCUCCUCUCAUAUCUUUCCACAAUAAUAAAAAAGGCUAAAUAUAAAGGCAGGGGAAAUGUUCCACUUCAGUAGUGAUCAAAGGCAUAGUUAACCUGAGACUGAUGUUUUGGUCUAUCAAAUCGGUAAAUAAUUUUAAAAAAAUUAUAUGAUGUUCAUUGCCGGGCAAAAGGUAUUGGCAUAUACUCAGAUGGAAGGGUAACAAUGUAAAAUGUUGAUUUUUCUGGAGAGGAGUUUGGCAUAUCAAAGCCUUAAGAUAUGCAUAUUAUUUGAUCAGAAAAACUAUCUUCUAAAAGUAAUUGAGGAUAUGAACAAAGAUUUAGUAACAAAGAUGUUAAUUGCUGUGUGGCUUAUAAUACAGAAAAACUCAAAAUGAUUAACAACAGUGUUACAGUAGGUGGCUGGUCAGAUGUGAGCAGGGCAGGCGGAGAGACCACUCCUCGGCCCCCACGCAGGAAUGUCAGGUAGCCAUCAGGUGAUGGUCAGGUAAUUAUUAACUGACUCCCUAAAAUAAUAAUUGGUUGCAGGCAGUCCCAGGGAAAGGUAGUCUCCCAGUACACAGAAAAACCUGAGACUGGUGAUCAGCUUCCUGAUAAGAUCUCAGGAGUUGGGUGAGUGGGCUGCAGCAUGCAAACUAAGAGGCAAGAUGGCGGAGUUUAACUGGUACAUUACCUUAUAGGAACACUUGACUGGUAAGGGAAGAGCGCCUCAAGUAAGCAUGCGUACAACUCCAGUAAACACACUGUGCAUGUGGCUCCUCCUAAGCACUGGCGGGCCACUGUGCAUGAGGACAGCCCACCCCAAGGGAAGAAUCAGGGCAGAAGGGACACAAGACCCUGGAAGCAUGCCGGCGUAUAAAACCCCAAGUCAAAAGGAUUCUUUCCUUGCUGCAUUCCACAAGCCCAGAGAAACUCGCUGGAACUCAUACAAAAUCCUCUCCUACUACCAUAUUAGGAAUCAAAAUGUGUAGCAGAAACCCACUGCCAAGCCGAGAUAAUCAACAGAGAAUGUCUAUGCCUUCAAGCCAAAUGAGUGCAGAAAAAUGAUCAAGGCAGCAAAGUAAAUAAUAAAACUGAGAACUGGCUUUAGAUUAUGGUCUUGUCAUGCAUCUCACUCUCUAAUAAGGCUGUUCUGGAAAUUUCUCUACCUCUUGGCCAUUCAGGUAUAAGAAGCUAGUAGGGUCUAAUUUUACUAUGAAUAAAAUUCACUCUAGGUCACAAGUGCAACAAAGCAAAGUAAUAUCUCUUUGCUUUAUUAAUGAUAUCAAAAAUUUUGUAUAGUUGCAUGGCUUAUAACUCUUCUACCAUAAUACCAAACUGAUUCUGCAAUACUUUACAAUUUAGAUAUAUUUUUUUCAAAUUUUGAAAAAAGUCUGUGUGUGGCAAUUACCAGAAAACUUUCCGGUUACAUUGUUUUUGCUCCAAGUGAAAUUGGUUAAGAUUAAUUAUAUUUUCCUUUUUUAAUACAUGGCACUUAAUCCAUCAUAUUCUUGGCUAGAAAUAAAUUUUUAAUUAAUAUUUGCACCAAAUUAAUAGAUGUUUCAAACCACAACAUGAUGGUUCUGGAAUUAUAGCAAGGGACAGGAUGCGGGGUUAUAUAAUGAAGGCUUAGCAAUUAUCUAGUGUAUUAAACAGACCAUUGUGGAACUAACUGCUUGCUUUAUUAAGACGGAAUGAUUACACCUGAGAAUGUAAUGCUGGACCGAUGAGAAAUUUGACCUUGCUGCCACAUUUCUUGAGUUUUAAAGGAGGCAGAGGUAAGAAAUGAGAUCAGAGAACAGAGGUUCCAUAAAUCAGUACCACAGAUGACAGGAGCAUGGAUAAGUGCAUAAUUGUAGACUCAGGAUAAAGCAAAGAAUUUAGAGCUAUUACAAAGUAAUUUGUGUGCCAUAACUCUCUGGGAAAUUAUAAUUAUCAGAGAAAUAAUAGACUCAUAGUCAAACAGCUUCUGACCGUAUUACUUGGA